GUUUCCAGUCGUUUUGGACAUGGCAUACAUAACUCAAGUUGAAGGCCGUCCGGGGUGAUGCAGGCUGCCAUUAGCAACUAAAUUAUCCUUAUAACUUCUUCUGUGUGUAAUUCUAAAAUAAUCGGUUCAAAGACAUACAUCGGGUGUAUUACUGGUACCACGAGUGUCCUCUAAACAUUUUUUUACUCGAAGAUUGACAUUUUUCCAUUCACUAUUUUGGGCGAUCCUGUUUUCUGCUAACAAUGCAUGCAGUACCACGGUCGGCCUUGAACUUCCGUGAGCAUUUAUUGCAAUGCUCAUAAACUGCACAGCACAAAAGAAGAAACAACCGGAGAAAAUUUGCAGCAGAACGCUUUUUGGGUUGAGCCUGUGUAGGGAUGUCUUGAAUUGGAAUGUGACUGAAGGAGUGGAAUGUUUAUGAAUGUCUUUAUUUUUGUAUUUUGGGUGAUGUCGUUUUUUCGCCCCUUUCAUACAAUUGGUAUGUUUUCUAUAGUUUUACCACCCGUACAGUAGGUGGCAGAAUGCACCUCUAACACUUAUUUCCAGACGCCCUAAUACCAUAGAAGAAGAAGAAUUUAAAGCACACUUUACGAUUAGAUUGAAAAACUCGGGGAUAUUAUUACAAAUAUUGCCGCGUAAGUACGUCGGCAGAUUGAGUUGUCAUGUUCGUGAGGAAGACAUCCAUAUGUUUUUUAGUGGUGACUGGAGGUUGGUCUGAAGAAUGAGUAAGUUAAAGGUGUUAGCUAGCUAACAUGGGCGAAAUGGCGACUGCUGACUAGUAGCUAGAUUGUCAGCUGUUGUUGAUAUUUAGCCAACACAGUAGACCUACUGACCCGUCGUCAGCACUGCUCGUUCUCGCUCAUGCACGAUCUAGUGUUACAGGUACGGCUUUGUGGAGUACGAGUCAUCAUUGAGCACGCUCGUGGUCCACGCAGGGGCCGUGGUGGUGGGGGUUAUAAGAGCGGAGCUGGACGUAACGGUAGUGGUUACAGCAGCCGAAGCCCCACUGGCUAGGAUACGUAUUGGCCACCUGUACGCACAGAGGACCGCCUUAUUGUGGACAGCCUCUCCAGUCGCUGCAGCUGGCAGGACCUAAAGGACUUCAUGCGCCAAGCUGGUUGAGGUGACAUAUGCCGACACUCAUAAGGAGUGGCCCAACGAGGGGGUGAUUGAGUUCUGCUCCCGCUCAGACAUGAGGGCCCUGGACAUGCUGGAUGGCACCAAAAUCAACGGGAGGAAGAUCUGCCUGGUGGAGGACAAGCCUUGCCACUGACGCUCCUACUCUGGCAGCUGCUCCUGGUCAGGAUAGUCCUGGGCCUACCACAUAAGGCAGCCGUUGGGUCCUUAUGGCCCUCCUGUUAUAAGUGGUCUCAUAGCAGACGUCACUUUCGCAGCAGGAGCAGAAGUUUUGGCAGCCACUCCAGGUCUCACUUACGGUCACACUCGUAGUAUACACCGCUCUCGAUCCAGGUCCAACCAGAAAUCACGUUCUAGAUCCGGGAAUUCCCACCUCUCCAAGUCACUCAAAUCCCGUUCCAAGUCCCGCUCACGUUCUCGCACCAGGAAGUCAUGUUCUCACUCCCACAAGUCUCGUAGCUGCUCAGUGAGCCUCAAAUCCAGCUCUCACUCCGACGCCCGUAUGUCUCGCUCCAAGAGCUAGUCUAAAGUCUAGUCUGAGCAGGAAUCCAGAAGCCACUCCAAAGAGAAGUCUGUCAGCAAGAAGUCCUAGAGUCGCUCCCCGACCCCCACAGAGAAUGGAAACAGAGCGUGCCCAGUCCACCUACAAGUCUCCCUCCCCACAAGAAGACCAUCCCAAAUCGAAGUACCCCGCCAUGCACUCAGUCUCUCGCUCCCCCUCAUGCUCUAAAUCCUUCUCCUGCUCCCGAUCCAGGUUGACCUCCAAAAUGUAAUUGCACUUGUUUUAGUAGGAAGUAUGGAAGAUGGUUUUAAAAUCAUUUACAAAUCGAAUGCAGUGUUUCAAUUUGCCCCAUUAUGAGCAUUUGGUUUUAUCGAAGUUGGGAAUGUAGUGCUUUUUAACAUUGUUUUUAACUUUGCAUGAGAACCAGGAUGAAAGAUUGUAGAUUGCUGUGGAACGCAUUGUAGAGGAAUUGUUCUCAAUUUCCUUAUCUGUAUGAGAUUGCUUAUGCUUCAUGUUAUAGGUACUGGUUGAUGUUUGUUUCAAGAGGAAAUUAUUGAUUCUUAUUUGUAAUCUCUUCCUCGCCAUCUUCUGCAUUGCUUUGAAACUCUCCUUCCAGACCCACAUCAAACAUCUCCAAACAAUCCAAAGUUAAGUCUAGAAUUGGCUUCCUAUUUCGCAACAAAGCAUCCUUCACUCAUGCUGCCAAACAUACCCUUGUAAAACUGUCCAUCCUACCAAUCCUCGACUUCGGCGAUGUCAUUUACAAAAUAGCCUCCAAUACCCUACUCAACAAAUUGGAUGCAGUCUAUCACAGUGUCAUCCGUUUUGUCACCAAAGCCCUAUAUACUACCCACCAUUGCGACCUGUACGCUCUCGUUGGCUGGCCCUCGCUUCAUACUCGUCGCCAAACCCACUGGCUCCAUGUCAUCUACAAGACCCUGCUAGGUAAAGUCCCCCCUUAUCUCAGCUCGCUGGUCACCAUAGCAUCACCCACCUGUAGCACGCUCUCCAGCAGGUAUAUCUCUCUAGUCACCCCCAAAACCAAUUCUUUCUUUGGCUGCCUCUCCUUCCAGUUCUCUGCUGCCAAUGACUGGAACGAACUACAAAAAUCUCUGAAACUGGAAACACUUAUCUCCCUCACUAGCUUUAAGCACCAACUGUCAGAGCAGCUCACAGAUUACUGCACCUGUACAUAGCCCAUCUAUAAUUUAGCCCAAACAACUACCUCUUUCCCUACUGUAUUUAUUUGAUUUAUUUAGCUCCUUUGCGCCCCAUUAUUUUUAUUUCUACUUUGCACAUUCUUCCACUGCAAAUCUACAAUUCCAGUGUUUUACUUGCUAUAUUGUAUUUACUUUGCCACCAUGGCCUUUUUUUGCCUUUACCUCCCUUAUCUCACCUCAUUUGCUCACAUCGUAUAUAGACUUGUUUCUACUGUAUUAUUGACUGUAUGUUUGUUUUACUCCAUGUGUAACUCUGUUGUUGUAUGUGUCGAACUGCUUUG
ensembl:lncRNA